CUGUUUCGUUGCAUCAAAGUUGAUUGAUUCGAUACCGGUCUCUGUGGAUGCUCAACUUCCUAGUGCUAAGAAACAAGCUGUUGACAAUGGAAACCACCACCAAAAUUCUGACGCUGGCACUCUGCCAAGAGCAUUGUCAUCGGUUAGUUACUGUCUGGUCUUUGGAAAAAAUGCUGUACCAAAUAUAUCUGUUUAACGAAUAAUUAUUGUUGUUUCCUCCAAGCUUAUAUGUCAGUUCAUUUGCCCUUCUAUUUUGGUUUCUUUUCCUAUGCGUCAACUGUAUGUUUAUACUUUCUUCAUUUAUUGUCUUAAUGUGCUCAAUGACAGGAGAGUAUGCCAAAGAUUAGUUUAAUUUAGAUGCCAUUUGGUCAUAGGAUUUUACAGUUUAUUGCUUACCUUUGAAUACUUCAUGCUUUUUAUAGGUCAUUGCGGCAGGUCCCUACACAACCACCGAUAAUCUGUUGUUUGAGCCAUUGCAAGAACUUCUGUCAUAUGCUUGUCGUAAGCAACCUCAACUGCUCAUAUUGGUGGGUCCUCUCA
rnacentral:lncRNA from 1 species